CCCUGCAAAUAAAGUGAUCUUACCUUGGUAUGUUUUGUUGCCCUGGCAAUCACAGAGCACAUUUGAAAAUAGAACAGAAAAGAAUUUUAAUUUCUUUGUAAUAAAGGGAGAAGAUGAAGCUAUUUGGAAAAAAAACCACAAACAAACAAGAGAAACAUCUGCACCUCAAGAAUUUUUUUCUCUGGGAUCUGCAUGAGAAACUUGCUCCCAGGAAGGUGGAUGUCUCAGACCACCAGGCCUUUUUGUGAGAAAAAGGGAAAAUACCAAGAUGAGUGAAAAUAAACAGAUCUGAUCUCAGCUGAAAGAAUACCCUUCUGACCAGCAGUGAAAGAAUGAAGAGUAAAAGCACUUUAAUAUCCUGGGGCACCUACAUGGAGACAAGUGGCUUGGUUCUCCUGCCUCAUCACCCUUCUCUGAGACUCCCAAUGGGGAAAAUACAUCCCACAGAUGCUCCUGAAAGGACCAUUUCUUUCCCACAUGGGCAUAGCCCAUCAAAUCAGCACUGUCAGAUUGCUGUAGAAAAUGGGCCAAGGGCCCAGAGCAAACUACUUCUGCAGUAGCCCUGAAAAAGAGCAAGCUAUCUGAAAAGAAAACAUGUCAUUAUAUUUCCUUUCCACAUGGUGAAUGAAGAAGCUUUUACCUGGGGAAGAAAGGAAAAGUGUUCUUUUUGUUAGCUUUGUCCAGAGAGAAAUAAAAUCUUUGAGGUAUUUUCUGGCACAUAGCUCCUGUUAGGCUUCAGCCAGCUGAUCUGUAUUCAAAAGCACUAGAAUGUAAUUUCAGCGAUAAUCGGUCAAGAGAAAUGGAGGUGGUGAAGGUUUUCUGUUGUAGGGAAGUCUUGCAUGAAAACCCACACAUCAUGGCUAAGAAAACAUAUUUAACAAAUUAAUGUGAAUCUUGGGAACUGAACCCCUGGAAUCUGGGGCUCUGCCCUGAACGAUGGAAAUCUGGAGCCACUGUUGGAUAGGGGAUGGUGCUUUUCAACUCUGAUUUCAGACAAUUGGCACAAACUCAUCUGAUGAACCUUUUGCCCUGCUGAUGAAAAACUUUAAUUUCCCACCAGUUUUUUAAUUUAUUAUUCAGAAUGCGUAAGUACUAAAUUAGAGAUACAGCUUUUGGUGUAAGCCAACAUAAUCCUUUUACCACUGAAAUGUUCUGUUAUAUAGCAUUUUGACCACUCUGUGUAUGUGUGAAAUUGCUGUCUAAAAUGUAGUGCUUAAAAUUUAUAUUUGCCUCUUUCAGGAAAAAUCUGUUAAAAAAUUCUAAUAGGAAAUUGUGCAAAAUAAAGCAUCUUACUCUUUAUUGUCCUGGA